GAACCGAAACCUGAGCCGAAACCAGAGCGGAAACCAAGAAUUGGACACUCAACUGACUGAGCCCCCCUGGAGCCCCUCCUAUUGAUUGAUGUGAUGGGCUUGCAAAACUCCAUGCCUUUAUUCUUGUUUUUCUGUCUGCAAAGUGGGACCCACUAACGUGUUGGAGCUCUGCAAGAGGAAAAUUUUCCCUAACAUGCCAGCCUGGGAUAACAAAAAGAUUGCAAUGCCAAGAUGGUCAUCGAAGACCAAAUGUGCAGUUUCAAUAAGUGAGAAAAUUGGCCUUCACCCGUGAAAGUAAGUCUCAGAACUAGGAGACUAGGGGUGCUAUGGAAGCCUUUGAGAAGAAAGCUAUGAACUGGUUCCUUAGAAAAAAGGAGUUCCCUAGAAAAAAAGAUCCAUUCAAGAAUUUGCCGUAUGACCCAAAUGAUCAUGAAUUGAAGAACACCUUUGUAGAAGAGGUAUUUUUCAUUAAACUCAUGAAUCAUUUAAAUCAGUAAAUUAGUGGAAAUUUCCAUUUUGUUUUUGUGCGAGUGAUGGUGUUGCUGGGGACAUUGGGGAGACUAGGGUGAUUAAAGAAGUUGCUGCAAAGUCAGUUCUCUGAUCCUACGAUAGGACCUUCUGGAAAGGUC